UACGAGGGGGGCAAGCGUUGUUCGGAAUUAUUGGGCGUAAAGGGUGCGUAGGCGGUGCGGUAAGUCUGUUGUGAAAUCUCCGGGCUCAACUCGGAGUCUGCAUCAGAAACUGCCGUGCUGGAGUGUGGGAGAGGUGAGUGGAAUUCCCGGUGUAGCGGUGAAAUGCGUAGAUAUCGGAAGGAACACCAGUGGCGAAAGCGGCUUCCUGGUCCAGCACAGACGUUCAGGCACGAAAGCGUGGGGAGCAAACAGG
rnacentral:rRNA from 1 species